ensembl:ncRNA T16G1.14 ncRNA
AACCGCAGUCUCCAUAUCUACAUACACCGUCCCCCAAUACUUCUUUCCCUCUAUCCGUCUCUAUUCCAUUUUUUCUCAAAAACCGCUUCGAAGCCUUUUUGUGAUGGUAGUGAGGAGAGAUGUAUAAGCCGUGCCUUGCCUCAUCCCUCGUUUCACUUUCCACUCACACUUCACCCAACCACUUUCUUACCACAGUCUUUUUUUGCCACUUUUCAA